rnacentral:snoRNA from 1 species
AUUGAGGUCUAUCCCGAUAGAGCCUAACUUUUGGUUCUUUAUCGUUGGAAACGCCUCAUAAAGUGACCAACUUGUGAUUUCGUUUUACCCAUUGAUCUGUGUUUGAUGGGUGCAGUCAAAUUACAAGACAAUA